rnacentral:misc_RNA from 1 species
AAGAACCUCAGCAGCAAGGUACUCCAGAACAGCAGCUAGAUAAACCGGAGCUCCGGCACCGACACGUUCAGCAUACUUCCCGGCUUUCAAAAACCGAGCAAUACGACCAACCGGAAACUGAAGACCAGCUUUGCUACUACGAGAAGUAGCCUUUUUUGCUGUUCCUGAACCUAGGGUUUUGCCUCUACCAGCCAUUUAUGGAAGAAAUUUGCUAUAAAAAUGGAGAAAAUUUUUGUAGGUUCAAAUUUUGAGAGCAAA